rnacentral:rRNA from 1 species
GACGAACGCUGGCGGCGUGCUUAACACAUGCAAGUCGAACGAUGAAGCCGGAGCUUGCUCUGGUGAAUUAGUGGCGAACGGGUGAGUAACACGUGAGUAACCUGCCCUUUACUCUGGGAUAACUGCGGGAAACUGUAGCUAAUACCGGAUACGACCCUCGGAGGCAUCUCCUGGGGGUGGAAAGAAGUUCGGGCAAGGAUGGACUCGCGGCCUAGCGGCUAGUUGGUGAGGUAAAGGCUCACCAAGGCGACGACGGGUAGCCGGCCUGAGAGGGUGACCGGCCACACUGGGACUGAGACACGGCCCAGACUCCUACGGGAGGCAGCAGUGGGGAAUAUUGCACAAUGGGCGCAAGCCUGAUGCAGCAACGCCGCGUGAGGGAUGACGGCCUUCGGGUUGUAAACCUCUUUUAGCAGGGAAGAAGCGAAAGUGACGGUACCUGCAGAAAAAGCACCGGCUAACUACGUGCCAGCAGCCGCGGUAA